rnacentral:rRNA from 1 species
ACGGGAGGCAGCAGUAGGGAAUAUUGCACAAUGGGGGAAACCCCGAUGCAGCAACGCCACGUGUGGGAAGAAGCAUUUCGGUGUGUAAACCACUGUCGUGAGGGAAUAAGGCAUUGUUUCGGCGAUGUUGAAUGUACCUCGAAAGGAAGCACCGGCAAACUUCGUGCCAGCAGCCGCGGUAAUACGAGGGGUGCAAGCGUUGUUCGGAAUCACUGGGCGUAAAGGGAGCGUAGGCGGAGACGCAAGCAGUCUGUACAAUACCGGGGCCCAACCCCGGACCUGCAGACUGGACUGUGUCUCUUGGAUAGUUCAGGGGCAGGCGGAAUUCCUGGUGUAGCGGUGGAAUGCGUAGAGAUCAGGAAGAACACCGAUGGCGAAGGCAGCCUGCUGGGGACUCAUCGACGCUGAGGCUCGAAAGUGCGGGUAGCAAACAGGAUUAGAUACCCUGGUA